UAUAACGCUAGCAAGGUUAGCUAGUGAGUUAGCCAGAUUUCAUGGUAAAACUAUUAAACACUGACUGACGUUGAGAACCUCACCAGCAGCUAGCUAACGUCAGUUACACCAGAUAUGGCACGGCAGUAAAUAUAAUUCAAUACCAACACCAACAAUCCCAGGCUGUUACAAUAUUAUCUACUAACCUGGAUGUGACUUUCAGUUCCUCAUGAUGUGACCCUGCCUGCAUUUGGGGUGUCGUGUCACGUGAGCACUGACUGAGCUGAUGUGUUUACUUGCAUACUUGACCAUGAUUGGCUUCCAACAGUUGUGAUGUCGUGGCUGAGGUCACCGUGAUCGUACAGGUGUGUUGUUUUUAUUCUUGUACCUGUACAGUAUGUAAUGAGUUUGAAGAAUCACUGGAAAAUCCUGACUAUCAACUUAGUUGGGCAUUGGCAAUGUCCUCUAGCAACGCCAAAGCAGCUGCUGUAUCAUGUGGCACAGUCAUCACGCAAUGCAUAAAAGUAGGCAAUUAUUGAUGUAUGGUUCAUUCAUGAGUGUGAUUUAUAACUAAAUCACUUUUAAAAGAUACCAGCAUGAAUGCAAGUCCUGCAACCAAGUGUCCCUCACUUGAACUCAAAGAUAGGCUUAGAAAAAAAAAAACCUCUUUCAGUCUGACACAAUCUCUGAAUCAAAAUUAUUUGGUAAUUUUUUUCUCUCUCUCACCAUAGUUAUGUGAAAAAGGAAGGACGUCAACUUCAUCAAAACAAGAUGAGAACGUUAUCGUUGUCCCUUUUCUUCUGUCACGUUUCAUCACCAGGCUGCACUACAGCAUCUAUUGACAGGCGCGAUCCCACUACUGAGCGGCACGGGGGCUUUGACCUGCUCCGUCUCCGACCUGGGCCGGUGCCCCCCUCCUUAGACGACCUGGUGGUCCCGGGCUCCCCCAGGAGCACCAUAUCGAUCCCGAACUUAGUGCGGACACCCGAUCGACAUAGUCCGCUGCAGCUCAGAGGUCCUGAGCUCAAACGAUCCUCCAGCCUCAGCCUCCCGGGAGCUUGGAUUACAGGCGCGCGCCACCGCACCCGGCGAAGAAACUCUGCGUCAUAGAGGGUCUGCACUUUGACUGACGUGACGUCACCAGGGAGUACCCUCAGG